rnacentral:rRNA from 1 species
AACGAACGCUGGCGGCAUGCUUAACACAUGCAAGUCGAACGAGGGCUUCGGCCCUAGUGGCGCACGGGUGAGUAACGCGUAGGUAUCUGCCUUGAAGUGGGGAAUAACGGCGGGAAACUGCCGCUAAUGCCGCAUACGCCCUGAGGGGGAAAGCUUUAUGCGCUUUGAGAGGAGCCUGCGUCCGAUUAGGUAGUUGGUGG